UGCGUAGGUGGCGAGCGUUGUCCGGAUUUAUUGGGCGUAAAGGGCGCGCAGGUGGUGCGGUAAGGCUGCCGUGAAAUCUCCCGGCUCAACUGGGAGGGUGCGGUGGCGACUGCCGGACUGGAGGCACUCAGAGGCCGGUGGAAUUCCCGGUGUAGUGGUGAAAUGCGUAGAGAUCAGGAGGAACACCUGCGGUGUAGACGGCUUUCUGGACCAUUGUUGACGCUGAGACACGAAAGCGUGGGUAGCAAACAGG
rnacentral:rRNA from 1 species